CAGCAGUAGGGAAUCUUCCGCAAUGGGCGAAAGCCUGACGGAGCAACGCCGCGUGAGCGAAGAAGGCCUUCGGGUUGUAAAGCUCAGUCAUCUGGGAAGAGCGAUCUUGGGAGGGAAUGCCCGAGAUGAGACGGUACCAAAAGAGGAAGCCCCGGCUAACUACGUG
rnacentral:rRNA from 1 species